rnacentral:rRNA from 1 species
AUGAAAAACCUACAGCGCAAGGUACAACCAGUGAAGGGGAAGAUGGAGCCGAAGCCCAAGAGGAAGAAGACCAGGGCGGCGGCGCCAGCAGAGGUGGAGGAAUUCACGGCGCUUGAGCUGGAAGCGGCUGAGCAACUCAUCCGCCUUAGCGAGAGCAGCGUGUCCUUGGGCACCCUGCGCGUCCUCCCCGUCGCCCCCUGCGUGGCGCUCUCGGGUCAGUCCUCCUCCCCUCCGCGCUCCACGAAGGCCCCACCAGCGCCGCCGGCUUCGGGCGCCAUAAUUCUUGGUGGUUCCGAGGACUGGGAGGAAGAUGAGGAGCAUGAGGUGGCCGGGAGGCAGCGGAGGGUGAAGCGCUACCGCCUGAUCAGCGAGAUCUACGCCGCAACGGAGCCAAUUGGCGAGCGCACCGGUAGCAAACAAAACAAGAAAAGGGAGUAG